ACAGUACAAACUGAACAGGCCAGAGUGGUCACACUCGGAGCCGGGUCGCGCAAGUGACAGUGGAAAUGAUUGCCCACGGGACAGU
rnacentral:ncRNA from 1 species